rnacentral:ncRNA from 1 species
UCCGGCCUCAAGCAGCGAGUGAAAAGGGAAUCCGGUGUGAACCCGGAGCUGACGCGCAGCGGUAUGGGGAAGUCACGGCAAUAGCGUGUUGCACGCAGACACUGCCCGUUAUCACGGGUGGGAAGUCAUUGCCCGGUGCCGGUUGCCUGCAACCUGCACAUCCCGAGCCCGAAGACCUGCCGGUGAUA